CAAUACCAAGUCGCCUUCAUCUAAUGGUUUCGUCUGCUUGUACCAUCUCGAUCGCUUCGUUAGUGUUGGAUUUACGCACGGACGGAGUGGAAUCGUCAAAGGGUAGCGGAGGCUUGCUUCCGUUCGAACUGCCUAAAAUGAAAUGAUUUGGCGUUAAGGGAGAUUCAGCUUCAUCUUCGAGUGGAAUUUCUGUCAGGGGUCGUGAGUUAACAAUCAGCUCCACUUCACUCAACCUAGCCCGUAAUAGCUCAUCGGUGGGGUGAUGAGGAAGGUCAAAGAAGGCAAGCGUCUUUUUUAUUGAUUGGAUCAAUCUCUCCCAUGACCCACCAAAAUGCGGUGCUGCAGGUGGGUUAAAAACCCACUUUGUCCCGGGUUGCACAAACUCUGCCAUCAACCGAUCCACAUCAAUCAGUGCAGCAGCUUCCUUCAGUUCACGAGAUGCGCCUACAAAAUUGGUGCCUCUAUCACUAACGAACUCUAGUGGCAGUCCCUUUCUAGCGGUGAAAUUGCGGAUCGCGAAAAUACACGAGUCUGUAGAAAGACUAUGCGCAACCUCGAUGUGUAUUCCUCUGGUAGUGAGGCAGGUGAAAAUCACCCCCCAGCGUUUUUCGGUUCUUCUCCCGACUGCUACUAUCAUCGGUCCGAAGUAGUCGAUCCCGGUGGGCAGAUAUGGACGUUCAUAAAUGUAUUUCCGUCGUACCGGUUACAAUCUGAUGCGCUACUUGAGCAUGGCCCGUAAACUACCCAUCCAAGUCGGGUUUUUGAUGCUGACGGCUCGUUUGCCCCUCUUUCGACCGUUUUAAGGGUUUGGCUCA